rnacentral:misc_RNA from 1 species
GAUGAAGAACGUAGCAAAAUGCGAUACUUGGUGUGAAUUGCAGAAUCCCGUGAACCAUCGAGUUUUUGAACGCAAGUUGCGCCCGAAGCCAUUAGGCCGAGGGCACGCCUGCCUGGGCGUCACACGUCGUUGCCCCCCCAUCUACUCCUUCGGGAUUGCGGGGGGCGGAUGAUGGCCUCCCGUGCGCCUCGCCGCGCGGUUGGCAUAAAUGCCAAGUCCUCGGCGACGCACGCCACGACAAUCGGUGGUUGCGAAACCUCGGUUGCCCGUCGUGUGCGGUCGUCGCGCAUCGAGGGCUCGAAAAAAUUGCCGGGUUCCGGCUCGGCUUUCAACGCGACCCCAGGUCAGGCGGGGUUACCCGCUGAAUUUAAGCAUAUCAAUAAGCGGAGGA